UACGUAGGUGGCAAGCGUUGUCCGGAUUUACUGGGCGUAAAGAGCGCGCAGGCGGUCGUUCAAGUCGCGUGUGAAAGCCCCCGGCUCAACUGGGGAGGGUCACGCGAUACUGAUCGACUCGAAGGCAGGAGAGGGUAGUGGAAUUCCCGGUGUAGUGGUGAAAUGCGUAGAUAUCGGGAGGAACACCAGUGGCGAAGGCGACUACCUGGCCUGUUCUUGACGCUGAGGCGCGAAAGCUAGGGGAGCGAACGGG
rnacentral:rRNA from 1 species